GGCCAGGGCCGGGAGGAUGUGUGUGUGCGUGCGUGUGUGAGUGUGUGUGCGCGCCCCGGGGGCAGGGAGGCGGGGGCCGGCGGCGGGCGGCGGAGCGCGGGGGCUGGUUCCUGGUCCCCGGGAGAAGCCAAGAAGGGCUUAACUGAUGGCCUGAGAGAUCAGGGGAACCUGAAGACGACGUGAAACCACGCCUGUCUGGGCACCCGUAUUGCUUGUCUGUCUCAGCCAGAGAGACUAUUCAUGAGCACAGCUGACAUCUAUUUCCAGCCUAUUACUCUGGGUUAUUGCUGGGACUUGGUGCCUACAUGACAAAUCUACUUCUCCCAGAAUCCACUUUUCCCCUCCUCCCCUUUCUAUUUUAUUUGACAGGAUAGAAAGAUAUUGGGGGGGGGUGAGAUAGAGGGAGAGAUAUAGACACAUGCAGAUCUGCUUCACUGCUCAUGAAGUGUCCCCCCAUGCAGGGGGGGACAGGGGCUUGAACCCAGGUCUCUGUGCAUGGUAAUAAAUGCACUAACCAGGUGUGACACUGCCCAACCUGCCUUGCUACUUUUCAUUUAUAAUGUUAAUGGCUAUGGCCAUUGCAUACUUACAACUUUAUCUAUUUAUUUAUUUAUUUAUUUAUUUAUUUAUAUGGAAACCAGCAUCUUGUGCAUGUACAAUUUUACCACUCUUGGCCACUUUUUUCUUGAGAGAGAGGGAGAGGGAGAGGGAGAGGGAGAGGGAGAAGGAGAGGGAGAGACAGACAGACAGAGAGAGAGAGAGAGAAAGAGAGAGAGAGAGAGAAAGAGAGAGACCACCACACUGAAACUUCCACCGCGGCUAUAGUAUCUCCCAUGUGGUGCUGAGGCUCAAAGCCUGGUCAUGCUUGUGGCAGUGCAGAUACCCUAUCUGCUGAACUGGUCUUAUACACAAUUUUAGAAUCUGCUUUUUUUGCUUGUUUGUUUAACAGCAUAGCAACAUAAGCAUUUCAAAUGACAACAGAUUUCAUCAUCAUUUACUCAAUAUAUUUGGAGCAUAUAACUUGAAGACAUCUUUUUUCAUAAGGUUAAAUUCUCAGACAUUGACAUAAUAGAGGAAAGUAUCAUCAAGACUCUCAACAUGCACAGUUUUUCAAAGAGUAAUUUUUGGUUUUACUUCCAUAUGGGAGUGUAGAAGUUUAAUUCUAACAUAUUUCCUGUUUAUCUUCUACCAAAAAAAUAAGGGAGAAAAUGAACUAUGUAUGAAUGUAUCUGAUAAGGUCAACACUAAGAAAUAGAUUUAAAUUAUGUUCAUUUAGUUCCUUUAUACUGAAUUAAAAAUUAGUACUAUGCCCUUAAAUUUUAUGAUGGGUUAUUACAAUACAAAGCAAAAAUCACUUUUUUUUUUUGGCAUCUUCUGCUAACUGCUCAUUGAAGACCUCACUUACUGUGCUAGUCAAUGUCCCUCUUAUAAGAACAUAUUCUUCUAUGAAGCAUGUUUCCCAUAUUUUUAAAAUCACAUGAUGAUGCUUAGACUGCUAAGAGACCCACCGUUCUCCUUUGUGCACAAGAGAAAUAAAGAGUUCUCUCUACACCUACUUCCCACCCUCUUCUCUUUUUUUUUUUUUUGGGGGGGGGUGAGGUGAUUGAGAACAGGCUAUAGGACCACUUGCCAGAGGCACAGAGUGUCAGCUCAGCAGGUACAUCAACUUGCAAAGGCCAGGCUCUCUGUUAGCCCUGGUGCUGGGCAUUGGGUGGGGCUUCCUGCUCCCUCCCCAAGCAGACUUUGGGACUCCACUUAUCCUGUCAAACAGGUGCUGACUCCACUUAUUCAAGCACAGUGACCUUGGGGCUGUGACCCUCACCUGGAAAACAUGGCAUCUCCAUUUCAAAGCUGCUCCCUCCCCAGCAAUGGAAAGU